rnacentral:tRNA from 1 species
GCCUCGGUGGUGAAAUUGGUAGACGCAGCGGACUCAAAAUCCGCCGCCGCAAGGCGUGCCGGUUCGAUUCCGGCCCGGGGCA